UCUGUAUUCAUUCCUGAGGUCGAUGACUCUGCAGUUUUCACAUCUAGAGCUCCGACUGGAAGUGGCGGAAACAUAACACCUGGGUAGACAUCCAUCUCCACUCAGUCAGCACCCAAACAUCAUUCAGUUGAAGCUGCAGCCUACAGGGAGAGGAACAAGAAUGGAAGUGGGAAAUAGGCCUUACAGCGGGGUCGGGGGUUUGAAUGGAAAGAACUCGGAGCACCAAACCCCACAGCUGAAAGCGAAAGGUUUACAUUCAGCGCAGUGUGUGGUGCCAUGAACCAGCCACUGCAGGUGUCUGCUGAAUGCACCUACAGGAUGCAUGCAUUCACACCCUUGGAAACAGUGGCCAUACAAGUGCGAG